rnacentral:rRNA from 1 species
UUGGAGGGCAAGUCUGGUGCCAGCAGCCGCGGUAAUUCCAGCUCCAAUAGCGUAUAUUAAAGUUGUUGCAGUUAAAAAGCUCGUAGUUGAAUUUUGGAUUCUGCCAGUUGGUCCAUCUUUUGAUGAGUACUGAUUGUGUGGGGUCUAUCCGCCUGGUGAUACGUAAUGUACUUUAUUGUAUGUUGCGGGUAGUCAGGACCUUUACCUUGAAAAAAUUAGAGUGUUUAAAGCAGGCUUAUGCCGGAAUACAUUAGCAUGGAAUAAUAGAAUAGGACGAUGUUGUUUUAUUUUGUUGGUUUCUAGGACAACCGUAAUGAUUAAUAGGGAUAGUUGGGGGCAUUAGUAUUCAAUUGUCAGAGGUGAAAUUCUUGGAUUUAUUGAAGACUAACUACUGCGAAAGCAUUUGCCAAGGAUGUUUUCAUUAAUCAAGAACGAAAGUUAGGGGAUCGAAGWCGAUCAGAUACCGUCGUAGUCUUAACCAUAAACUAUGCCGACUAGGGAUCGGGCGAUGUUGUUUCAAUGACUCGCUCGGCACCUUAUGGGAAACCAAAG